UUUUGUUACUGUUUUGAAGGAAGGGGUAGCUGGUUGCUGUGUUGCUGGUUGCUGGUUGCUUGCUGCUUCUUCAUUCUGGUUGCUGCCGACUAUGUGUUGCUACUGCUGGCUUGGAUCAGUGAGCUGAUAAUUGGCUUCUUGCUUCAUCCCCCACUGCAAAGUCUCUACGUCUACAGUAUAAUUCCACAGAACCAAAUUCAGUAGAUGAAGAAGGUUAACCCACAAACGCUGGUUAGCAUCCCUCCUGUGGAAACCAAUUCCCUUAACAAAGAAAGUUGCUUGCUCAAAAUCCCACCAAUGGUGAUUGAGAACUAGUUCGGCUUAUGAGGAGGGAAAGUUCUGUGAGACUUUCCAUUUGGAUGCUUCUGGUUGGAGGUGCUGCGAGUCUUGUGGGAAGCAAAUUCAUUGUGGAUGCAUCGUGUCAUUCCAUAUGUUUGUACUGUUGGAUGCUGGAGGAAUUGACUGCAUAACGUGUGCAAGAAAAAGUUUCAUUUUGGUGAGUUUUCUACAUUUUUUUAAUGAUUAUUUAUUAUUAUUUAUUUAAUUUUUGCGACCACUGGGUUAUCAGUAAUGCCAUAUUAGUGAAACUUGCCAGGCAAAUUCCAUGUAUUAAUGCUGAUUCUCUACUAUGGGU